rnacentral:rRNA from 1 species
UCGAGAAUCAUUCGCAAUGGGCGAAAGCCUGACGAUGCGACGCCGUGUGAGCGAUGAAGGCCUUUGGGUUGUAAAGCUCUUUCGCCUGGGAACAAGAGAGGAGGACGAAUAGUCCUUUAAUUUGAGGGUACCAGGUAAAGAAGCACCGGCUAACUCCGUGCCAGCAGCUGCGGUAAUACGGAGGGUGCAAGCAUUAAUCGGAUUUAUUGGGCGUAAAGGGCGCGUAGGCUGAAUGGUAAGUCAGAUGUGAAAUUCCGAAGCUCAACUUCGGAGCUGCAUUUGAAACUGCCAAUCUAGAGGAUAGGCGGAGAAAACGGAAUUCCACGUGUAGCGGUGAAAUGCGUAGAUAUGUGGAAGAACACCUGUGGCGAAAGCGGUUUUCUAGCUUAUAACUGACGCU